UGGACUGGUAACUAUAAACAUCAACUGGCAGGACUGUGUGGGGGAGAAGACAGCUGCAUGGAGAGAGCAGAAUGACCACUUAAAGUGAUGACAAAGGAAGAGCUGGCUACUGGCGGGGAGCUCCUGCUGAAAUGAUGCUUGGAAGACAACAUAAUAUACAGUCCCACCUCAAGAAAACUAGCUGAAAGGUAUUCCUCUCCAAUUGCCAUGUGGACAUCAUCAGGCAGUUGAUUACCUGUCAUUCACAAUCUUCCAGAGUGGCAGCUUUGUCCUGCUCAGCAACACGACCAAUGUGUUUCCACAGUAUGAGGCCAGGCAGAGCAGAGUGGGGAAGCAAAGCCUGAGGCAGGAAGAGAAGAAAGUAUCCUCAAG